ensembl:lncRNA
UUUUUUUUUUAAAAAUUAUUUUUGGCUGUGCUGGGUCUUUGUUGCUGCACAUGGGCUUCUCUAGUUGAGAGGCCUGAGUUCACCUGGAAGUACCUAAAUCAAAAUCCACAGGCGAUACCUUUGGAAGCAAGGAGAGAGAAUUUCAGAGAGGGAAUGGUGUCAGGAGCCAGAAUGUCUGAACCUCCUUCUCUACCAGCUGAGGCUCCUGAGGGCUUUGACAAGAACCCCAGGGAAGAGGGGGAGAAAACUCUUCAGGCUGAGCUGCAAGCUUGGCAUCUUCCACUGUCACUCACAUGGAGGCCAGAGGAAAGUACCACUGAUUCUCUUCAUUCAAGAGCCAUGUGUUGGCACCAACGUUGUGCCAGCGGCUGGGCUGGGCACUGGGAGGAACCUGCUAAAGUAGACAUGUUAUGUACCCUGGGGUGUUGGCGGCAGAGGAAGAGACAGUCAGAUGUCUAUUGACUGAGUGUGG